ACGAACGCUGGCGGCUGCUUAACACAUGCAAGUCGAACGGAGUGGCGAACGGGUGAGUAACGCGUGAGCAACCUGCCUAUGACAGUGGGAUAGCCUCGGGAAACCGGGAUUAAUACCGCAUAGUCAUAGAUGGGCUCGCGUCUGAUUAGCUAGUUGGUGAGAUAACAGCCAACCCAGGCGACGAUCAGUAGCCGGUCUGAGAGGAUGAACGGCUACAUUGGAACUGAGGCACGGUCCAACCUCUUACGGGAGGCAGCAGUGGGGAAUAUUGCCCAAUGGGUGAAACCCUGAUGCAGCGACGCCGCGUGAACGCAGAAUGUAUUCGUAUCGUAAAGUUCUUUCCUAUGGGAAGCAGUACCAUAGAAGAAAGCGCCGGCUAAAUACGUGCCAGCAGCCGCGGUAAUAC
rnacentral:rRNA from 1 species